GAUGAAGAACGUAGCGAAAUGCGAUAAGUAAUGUGAAUUGCAGAAUUCAGUGAAUCAUCGAAUCUUUGAACGCACAUUGCGCCCGCCAGUAUUCUGGCGGGUAUGCCUGUUCGAGCGUCAUUUCAACCAUCAAGCCCCAGGCUUGUGUUGGGGACCUGCGGCUGCCGCAGGCCCUGAAAACCAGUGGCGGGCUCGCUGUCACACCGGGCGUAGUAGAUUUUAUCUCGCUCAGGGCGUGCUGCGGGUUCCGGCCGUUAAAAAGCCUUUUUUACCCAAGGUUGACCUCGGAUCAGGUAGGAAGACCCGCUGAACUUAAGCAUAUCAAUAAGCGGAGGA
rnacentral:misc_RNA from 1 species